UACGGGGGGGGGCAAGCGUUGUUCGGAAUUACUGGGCGUAAAGGGCUCGUAGGCGGCCAACUAAGUCAGACGUGAAAUCCCUCGGCUUAACCGGGGAACUGCGUCUGAUACUGGAUGGCUUGAGUUUGGGAGAGGGACGCGGAAUUCCAGGUGUAGCGGUGAAAUGCGUAGAUAUCUGGAGGAACACCGGUGGCGAAGGCGGCGUCCUGGACCAAUACUGACACUGAAAAGCGAAAGCCAGGGGAGCAAACGGG
rnacentral:rRNA from 1 species